UACGUAGGUGGCAAGCGUUGUCCGGAUUUACUGGGCGUAAAGGGCGUGCAGGCGGUUUGUUAAGUGCAGGGUGAAAGCUCCCGGCUCAACUGGGAGAGGUCCUUGCAUACUGGCGAACUCGAGGGAGGCAGAGGAAAGUGGAAUUCCCGGUGUAGUGGUGAUAUGCGUAGAUAUCGGGAGGAACACCUGUGGCGAAGGCGGCUUUCUGGGCCUUACCUGACGCUGAGACGCGAAAGCGUGGGGAGCAAAAGGG
rnacentral:rRNA from 1 species